AAAUGAAUUGACGGGGGCCCGCACAAGCAGUGGAGUAUGUGGUUUAAUUCGAAGCAACGCGAAGAACCUUACCAGGGCUUGACAUCCUCUGACGGCUCUAGAGAUAGAGAAUUCUCUUCGGAGACAGAGAGACAGGUGGUGCAUGGUUGUCGUCAGCUCGUGUCGUGAGAUGUUCGGUUAAGUCCGGCAACGAGCGCAACCCUUGUUGUUAGUUGCCAUCAUUAAGUUGGGCACUCUAACGAGACUGCCGUUGACAAAACGGAGGAAGGUGGGGACGACGUCAAAUCAUCAUGCCCCUUAUGUCCUGGGCUACACACGUACUACAAUGGUAACAACAGCGAGCAGCGAAGUCGCGAGGCGGAGCAAAUCUAAAAAUGUUAUCUCAGUUCAGAUUGCAGGCUGCAACUCGCCUGCAUGAAGCAGGAAUUGCUAGUAAUGGCAGGUCAGCAUACUGCCGUGAAUACGUUCCCGGGCCUUGUACACACCGCCCGU
rnacentral:rRNA from 1 species